rnacentral:rRNA from 1 species
UACAGAGGGUGCAAGCGUUGUCCGGAUUUAUUGGGCGUAAAGCGUCUGUAGGCGGUCUGCCAAGUCCGAAGUGAAAUAAUGGGGCUUAACUCCAUAUCCGCUUUGGAAACUGGCAGACUAGAGACUGUUAGAGGUGAAUGGAAUUUCCAGUGUAGCGGUGAAAUGCGUAGAUAUUGGAAGGAACACCAGAGGCGAAGGCGGUUCACUGGGACUGUUCUGACGCUGAGAGACGAAAGCUAGGGGAGCGAAAGGG